rnacentral:rRNA from 1 species
GACGAACGCUGGCGGCGUGCUUAACACAUGCAAGUCGAACGGAAAGGCCCCCUUGUGGGGUACUCGAGUGGCGAACGGGUGAGUAACACGUGAGUAACCUACCCUUGACUUUGGGAUAACUUCAGGAAACUGGGGCUAAUACCGGAUAGGAGCUCCUGCUGCACGGUGGGGGUUGGAAAGUUUCGGCGGUUGGGGAUGGACUCGCGGCUUAUCAGCUUGUUGGUGGGGUAGUGGCUCACCAAGGCUUUGACGGGUAGCCGGCCUGAGAGGGUGACCGGCCACAUUGGGACUGAGAUACGGACCAGACUCCUACGGGAGGCAGCAGGGGGGAAUAUUGCACAAUGGGCGGAAGCCUGAUGCAGCAACGCCGCGUGCGGGAUGACGGCCUUCGGGUUGUAAACCGCUUUCGCCUGUGACGAAGCGUGAGUGACGGUAAUGAGUAAAGAAGCACCGGCUAACUACGUG